rnacentral:rRNA from 1 species
CGGGCAACUGGGGAUAAUACCCCAUAGACCAGGGAUGCUGGAAUGCCUCCUGGUUCAAAGGUCCGCCGCCUGAUGAUGGUUCUGCGGCCGAUUAGGUUGUUGUUGGGGUAACGGCCCAACAAGCCUUUGAUCGGUACGGGUUGUGAGAGCAAGAGCCCGGAGAUGGAUUCUGAGACACGAAUCCAGGCCCUACGGGGCGCAGCAGGCGCGAAAACUUUACAAUGCGAGAAAUCGUGAUAAGGGAACCCCGAGAGCCCGUAAAUUCGGGCUGUCGGCCAGUGCAAAUAGCUGGUGAAGAAAGGGCCGGGCAAGACCGGUGCCAGCCGCCGCGGUAACA